UGAGUAAACGAGAUGAACGCGGGCACAAAACCGAAAGGUUGUGCGUGAGGAAAGUCCGGGCUCCAUAGGGUAAGGGUGCCGGGUAACUCCCGGUGAAGGUAACUUUAAGGAAAGUGCAACAGAAAUAUACCGCAUAAGAGAUUAUGUAAGGGUGGAAUGGCGAGGUAAGAGCUCACCAGCAGUAGGGUAAUCUACUGGCUAUGUAAACCCCAUCCGGAGCAACACCGUGGAGAAACGUAAUAAAGCGACCCGCUUAGUUUCGAGGAGGUGGCUUGAGCUGUGCAGAGAUGCACGGCCUAGAUAGAUGUUCAUCAAGAACAGAACCCGGCUUAAAAGUUUACUCAUUUU
rnacentral:RNase_P_RNA from 1 species